GAUAGGAUAGGUUAACUAAACCGUAGACCUGUGGAGUCUAAAAUUUAUUAUUAAUCUUGUCC
rnacentral:tRNA from 1 species